rnacentral:rRNA from 1 species
UAGGGAAUAUUGGACAAUGGGGGGAACCCUGAUCCAGCCAUGCCGCGUGGAGGAAGACUGCCCUCUGGGUUGUAAACUCCUUUUAUAUGGGAAGAACCGUCCUCAUUGAUGAGUGACCUGACGGUACCAUAGGAAUAAGCACCGGCUAACUCCGUGCCAGCAGCCGCGGUAAUACGGAGGAUGCAAGCGUUAUCCGGAUUCACUGGGUUUAAAGGGUGCGUAGGCGGAUAUGUAAGUCAGAGGUGAAAUCUUACAGCUUAACUGUGAAACUGCCUUUGAUACUGCAAGCCUAGAGUAUGGAAGAGAGUGAUGGAAUAUCUGGUGUAGCAGUGAAAUGCGUAGAUAUCAGAUAGAACACCAAUGGCGAAGGCAGUCACUUGGUCCAUUACUGACGCUAAAGCACGAAAGCGUGGGUAGCAAACA